CCUACGGGAGGCAGCAGUGGGGAAUAUUGGACAAUGGGCGAAAGCCUGAUCCAGCCAUGCCGCGUGAGUGAAGAAGGCCCUAGGGUUGUAAAGCUCUUUCGCCAGGGAAGAUAAUGACGGUACCUGGUAAAGAAGUCCCGGCUAACUCCGUGCCAGCAGCCGCGGUAAU
rnacentral:rRNA from 1 species